CAUGCAGCCGAGCGGUAGAGAUCUUUCGGGAUCUUGAGAGCGGCGUACGGGUGCGGAACACGUGUGCAACCUGCCUUUAUCAGGGGGAUAGCCUUUCGAAAGGAAGAUUAAUACCCCAUAAUAUAUUGAGUGGCAUCACUUAAUAUUGAAAACUCCGGUGGAUAGAGAUGGGCACGCGCAAGAUUAGAUAGUUGGUGAGGUAACGGCUCACCAAGUCUGCGAUCUUUAGGGGGCCUGAGAGGGUGAUCCCCCACACUGGUACUGAGACACGGACCAGACUCCUACGGGAGGCAGCAGUGAGGAAUAUUGGACAAUGGGUGCGAGCCUGAUCCAGCCAUCCCGCGUGAAGGACGACGGCCCUAUGGGUUGUAAACUUCUUUUGUAUAGGGAUAAACCUACUCUCGUGAGAGUAGCUGAAGGUACUAUACGAAUAAGCACCGGCUAACUCCGUGCCAGCAGCCGCGGUAAUACGGAGGGGUGCAAGCGUUAUCCGGAUUUUAUUGGGUUUAAAGGGUCCGUAGGCGGAUCUGUAAGUCAGUGGUGAAAAUCUCACAGCUUAACUGGUGAAAACUG
rnacentral:rRNA from 1 species